CCUACGGGAGGCAGCAGUGAGGAAUCUUGCGCAAUGGAGGCAACUCUGACGCAGCCACGCCGCGUGCAGGAAGAAGGUCCUAUGGAUCGUAAACUGCUUUUCUGUGAGAAGAACGCCUGCCUCGGGCAGGGCUGACGGUACCACAGGAAUAAGGACCGGCUAACUCCGUGCCAGCAGCCGCGGUAAUACGGAGGGUCCAAGCGUUGUCCGGAAUCAUUGGGUGUAAAGGGUGUGUAGGUGGGUCUGCAAGUCAGGGGUGAAAGCCCACGGCUCAACCGUGGAACUGCCUUUGAUACUGCAGGUCUUGAGUCCUGGAGAGGCUACUAGAAUUCGUGGUGUAGCGGUGAAAUGCGUAGAUAUCACGAGGAAUACCAGAGGCGUAGGCGGGUAGCUGGACAGGCACUGACACUGAGGCACGAAAGCGUGGGGAGCGAACAGGA
rnacentral:rRNA from 1 species